rnacentral:lncRNA from 1 species
AAAACAACAGAGAACACUCACUCCAUGUUCAGCAUGAAGGAGAACUGCAUGAUCCAGGGAGGUUUAGGGGACCAAGAAGGUGGAUAGGCUCUAACUGGGGCAGGCAGCAGGUGCGGCUGCAGAAAAGCGAAGGACUCCGAGCCCCGUGGUGCCUGCCUAAGAGUGAGCCAAACUCAGAAAGCCUGAGGCCCUUCUAGAUGAAAGGUGACUGAUGCAAAGCUUGAUCCCAGAUUGGAUCUGGGUUAUGGGAAGACAGCUCACCAGGGACUAUUUAAGGGCAAUUGGCGAAAUGUAGACAUGGAAGAUGGACCAGACAACAGCAUGAGAUGAAUGUUAAAUUUCCUGAUUUUGAUCCUUGUUCUGUGGCUAUUGCCGAUGGGAUAUGUGCCUGUUGGACAAGGCCCAACUUCUCCAACCUUGGAAUCAAGUUGGACACUGUUGCCCUCAUUUUCUGUCCCACACCAUUUUACCUCAAAGCAAUCAUUGAAAACCCAGCUUUGGAAAGAUAUGACAACUGUGAAAGGAAUAUACUGCAAUCUGAUGUUCGAACUGUGAACUUCCUCAAUCGAGUAGUUCCCAAGGUGUCCAAGAAGGGUCAGCUAUCAAUGUAUAUCCUCUGAAAACUGGAAAUAUUCCAUGGCACCCCUGUGAACUCACUGUGGCCCCUACAGUUUGAGAACCAUAGCCUUGUCUCAUAUUGCUUCUGAUACACAGAGUGCCAUGCUGAUUUGGGUGUAUUCUUUUCCUGUCUUUGUACUCUCCACAUAUAUUAUAAAAUGUGGACCAGAAGAAUUCUAUAUUUCCCUUUUUUUAAUUUGACAAUGUUAUGAGUGUAUUCCCAUGUCAAUAAAAAUUCUUUUAAAAAUUAUUUAUAUCUGAAUCAUAUACCAAAUUUACCAAUAUCGAAUUUAAUCUUCCUCCAGUCCUUGAAUUUUCCAGCUGUAUUUCAUUUUGCUAUUAUCUGUCAAUAUUCCUUAAAAUGGAUUUCUAGAAGCAGUAUUACCAAAUGAACUUCUUAAACAAUCUUGAUAACUAUUGUUAAAUUGCUUUUCAGAAAUAAUGCACUAAUUUAUAUUCCAAUAAAAAAUACAUGGCAGUGGCUAUUUUGCCACAUUCUUAACUGCACUGGGUAUUUCCAUUAAUAAAAUAAAAUCUCCUC